rnacentral:rRNA from 1 species
GACGAACGCUGGCGGCGUGCUUAACACAUGCAAGUCGAACGGAAAGGCCCUGCUUUUGUGGGGUGCUCGAGUGGCGAACGGGUGAGUAACACGUGAGUAACCUGCCCUUUACUUUGGGAUCACUUCAGGCAACUGGGGCUAAUACCGGAUAGGAGCUCCUGCUGCAUGGUGGGGGUUGGAAAGUUUCGUCGGUUGGGGAUGGACUCGCGGCUUAUCAGCUUGUUGGUGGGGUAGUGGCUUACCAAGGCUUUGACGGGUAGCCGGCCUGAGAGGGUGACCGGCCACAUUGGGACUGAGAUACGGCCCAGACUCCUACGGGAGGCAGCAGUGGGGAAUAUUGCACAAUGGGCGGAAGCCUGAUGCAGCAACGCCGCGUGCGGGAUGACGGCCUUCGGGUUGUAAACCGCUUUCGCCUGUGACGAAGCGUGAGUGACGGUAAUGGGUAAAGAAGCACCGGCUAACUACGUG